rnacentral:rRNA from 1 species
AUCCUGGCUCAGGAUGAACGCUAGCGGCAGGCUUAACACAUGCAAGUCGAGGGGCAGCGGGGAGUAGCAAUACUCUGCCGGCGACCGGCGCAAGGGUGCGUAACACGUGAGUAACAUGCCCGUUACAGGAGGAUAAACCAUGGAAACGUGGCCUAAUACUCCAUAUAAUAUUAGUAUUGCCUAAUACAAAUAUGAAAUCUUCGGAGGUGACGGAUUGGCUCGCGCAACAUUAGCCGGUUGGUAGGGUAACGGCCUACCAAAGCAACGAUGUUUAGGGGUCCUGAGAGGGAGGUCCCCCACACUGGAACUGAGACACGGUCCAGACUCCUACGGGAGGCAGCAGUGAGGAAUAUUGGACAAUGGAUGGAAAUCUGAUCCAGCCAUGCCGCGUGCGGGAAGACGGUCCUAUGGAUUGUAAACCGCUUUUAAAUGGGAGCAAUAAGGUGUAAUCGUGCACCGAUGAGAGUACCAUUGGAAUAAGCAUCGGCUAACUCCGUGCC